CAGGUGGUGGCAUGGUUGUCGUCAGCUCGUGUCGUGAGAUGUUGGGUUAAGUCCCGCAACGAGCGCAGCCCUCGACCUUAGUUGCCAGCAUUCAGUUGGGCACUCUAAGGUGACUGCCGGCUAAAAGUCGGAGGAAGGUGGGGGAUGACGUCAAAUCAUCAUGCCCCUUAUGACCUGGGCUACACACGUGCUACAAUGGGCGGUACAAAGGGUCGCGAACCCGCGAGGGGGAGCCAAUCCCAAAAAGCCGCUCUCAGUUCGGAUUGCAGGCUGCAACUCGCCUGCAUGAAGCCGGAAUCGCUAGUAAUCGCGGAUCAGCAUGCCGCGGUGAAUACGUUCCCGGGCCUU
rnacentral:rRNA from 1 species